UCCUGCAAAAAAUAAGAGUCACCAAGUUCCCCCAGGCCAAACAGAUCAACCCAUUUUCUCAGGCUCAGCUGUCACGCUCACUCUUCUCCGUACCACUGACACCAACACCACUGACACCAACACCACUGAUACUUGAAGAAGAAUAGGAUCUGCAUCUGUCCGCCCUGCUUUUUCUUUUCUUAUUUUUCCUGUUUGAUUAAAAAAAUGCAAAGUUUGUAUGUGUGUUCACAAGUCUUUUCAUCCUACAAGUUAACAAACUUUCGAUACCUUUCAAAGUUUGUGCUUUUAAAAAAAAAACUGUUGUGGUUUAUUCCUUUGCCAAGUUUAAGUUAAUUCAAGAACCUGGGAACAAACCAGGACAAAAAAGGGCACCUGAAAGUAACGCUUAGAAAUGGAGAGGAGAACAGUAAGAAAAUAGGCUGUUGACUCUUCUUGCAUGACUGGUGAAAGAUUUUUAAACAGUUGCUAAAUAUUUGUUUUGUGUAUUUACCACACAACAUAUACCAGUGAAACUGGGAAUUACAUUACAUUACAGAAAUGGAAAGAACAUUUAAAAAAAAAAGUUUAUUUAUCUAACUGAGGAAUCCGUGGUGCUCCUGGACGUUGGUAAACACAGACACCUCCUAUCAAAUCUCCGUGCUUGCCUGAGUUGCUCCUUGUGAAUCUCCCUGCAAUGUAACUGUACAAACUGUAAAAUGAAAGUAUCAAGGGCAUUAAAAAGUUAUACAUUACAUAAGUCAAAUGUUAAGCUAAAUAACCAGUGUCACUGUUUUUUUUUUUGUUUUCACCUAUGUGAGAUAUAUGGUGCUUACUUUUAUGUGUUGUUGGAUUUUACUUCUUCAAAUGAUUACGUGAUUUUUUAAUUUUUCAGUAGCUUAAUCUGUAGCAUUCUAUAUUUUAUAAGGGUCUUAAUUGUUUAUGCCAUCUGUUUCCUGUCAGACCCAUUUCUAAAAAAAUCUGUCUGUUUCCUGUUCAGAGUACCUUAUACAUCUAACUUAAGACCCUUAUGUAAUGGCAGGACUUUCUCAUCCCAUAAAGGGAUGUUUAAUACUACAGUGUAUCCUUGAUUUCAUCAGAAUCAUACAAAAUGAUAAUUUUCGUUCCAUUGUUUGUUUGUUCUUUCAUUUGUAAC